CCGCGGGCUACCUUUCGGCCAAUGGGUGUCGCGUACGGAGUAUCCGGCGAUUCUUAUGUUUGAUGCUCAAAAAAAAAAGAAGAUACCCUUUAAUGUUUUCACAAACUAUUAACAUAUUAGCUUUACCCAUUUGCCACGUUACAUUGCUAUUUUUAUAACUUAGAAUUAAGUUAAAAAACAUUACUUAUAGUUUGAUUAAACAUAAAAUACUCCUGAAAACCAAAUGAUCUUAUGGAUGAAUCCAAAUGAUAUUACAAAAAAACAAUCAUACUAGAUAAACAUCUUAAAAUAACCAUAUGUAAAGGUAAUCCUUGUACUUGACAGCAAUGUACAAACAUAAAUAUCAUAUAUCUAAACUUAUAUAUGAUUUUUUUUCAAAUAUUUUUUAAUUAAGUUAGUCAGUUAAUACAUUUAAAUCAUAAAAAAUCCGGUACACCUUGAGUCAUUUGACUAACGACACAACAUGAUAAGUUCGUAAAUUUUGAUAUACCAGCGACAUCUAAAAUGUUUUUUAGCAUUCAUAAACCGAUCCAUUUCCUACACUACAAACCCGUUUCCUACAAUGCAAGUCAAAAUCUAUUUGGUCGAUUUUGAUAUUUACCAAAUGCAUAACAUGAGGGGACCAUCAUGUCAAAAGCGAGUAAAUACUAUUUUGGUAUCGUAAGCUAUAUUAGGUGUAGGUACCAUAUUGGUACCGUAACAAACUUCUAAACAUGCUUUUUAUCAAAGUUUAAACCUCAUAUUACUAUUACUUUUUUACCACUAGCUUUUAGUAGUUUUUUAAACAUGAUAUUACUAUUACUUUUUUAGACCUGAUAUUACUAUUACUUUUUUUUAAACCUGAUAUUACUAUUAAAAAUGUUCCUUUACUAUAAAAAAGCAUGAGUUUUUUUUCCUUUACUAUUACUUUCUACCUCAAGUCAAUUUAAAAAAAAAAAUAAUUACUAAACAAUAAUUUGGAUUCAUAUAUGAUUCCUUCAUCUCACCUACUUUUAAAAAAAGUUAAAAACAUCUAAAAAAAUAAUUCUCUAGAAUGGGACACCUGAUGAAAGUUGAGAUACUUUGUAAUUUAGACGAACAAAAAAACCUUUUGAGUGACUUUAGUUCAACACGAGUAAUAGAUGUUUACUAUAUUGGGCAUAGUUGUCAAAGGUGAAAGACGUAAAUGGUGAGCUUUGGGCCUAGGGGCAAGACACUUAGAAAAGAGAGGGCCAGAGACGAGCAAGACGCAUAGCAAAAAAAAGACCUUUUUUUUUUGAGUUUUGGACAUGUUUAGGCUUGUUUAGAAAUGGUGUACGCUACCAUUUGACGUCUCCCACUAGCUGAUUCUACAACCAACAUAAAGGAGGUAAUCCAGUGUCCUAGAGUACAUCGAUUGAUGUCGGAUGUUAUCUACAUGUUCUAGCCCGUCUAUGUAUUUCUUUUUAAUUAAAACAAAACUGUAGGAAUAUCAAUCUAGUGGCUUAUCAUUUGUACUUUUAUGUCUCUAUUAAGUUAAGCUAUAAAUACUCUCACCGUCGCAUACUAAAAAGGUACCUAAUUACCCCUUUGUAUAGACAUGAAAUCCAUGAGCUUCUUCUAAAAGCAUAGUCUAAACGAAAAGGUUCAUUAGUUUGCAUUUUUCUUUGUUGGUGUUCUAAGAACCGUUGAUUAAUUUGUAUGUAUGUAUUCUCAACUCAAAAACCUAACAACAAACAACUGUUUCAUAAAAAUACAGUGAUCUACACAUAAUUUUCAUCUAUUUUUUCUUGUGCAUAGUAGUUGAGUUUUGUUUAUUGAUUACAUGGUUUUUCCCGGAUCAAGUAGCAUAAAAUGAUCAUCACAUAUCUAUAAUCAACUAGUACUUUGAUGAAAAAGUUGCUUAUAGUUGGGACUAUGUGUUUAGCACAAGAAGCCACUUUUUUUUUAAAGAAACUUUUCAUGACUUAUUUAAAAUAAAAAGCCAUACAUAUACAUAAAUUCUUAAAAAAUGGAUUGAUUAAAGAUGAAAAGAGAAAACCAACCAAGAAAAAUACAAAUUAAUUAAUGAACCUUUUGUUUUAGACUACAUAUACUUUUUAGAAGAAGCUCGCGGUUUUUAUAUACAAAAAGUUAAUUCAUACUAUAUUAAAGUGGAUUUCAUACUUGAUAAUUCAUACUAUAUUAAAGUGGAUUUCAUACUUAAUAUUAAUAUUAAUAUUAAUAUUAAAGUGGAUAAGUAGACUGCCCUAUAAACGAUUUUUUAGAAGAAGCUCACGGGUUUUUAUAUACAAAAAAUCAAUUCAAACUAUAUUAAAGUGGAUAAGUAGACUGCCCUAUAAACAAUAAGCCAUUAUUUUAGAUUGAUAUUUAUAUAUAACUAGUAUUAAGUCCUGCGUUGCGGUGGGAGCGUAAAACCAUGAUAAAUAACACCAAUGCAUCGUCAGCAACAAUGGCGCAACAUAGUGGGGGCAGAAAGGGGCGGCCGACCCCCCGAACUUUUCGCUCAGUAGUGGAGAGUAUGUAGUUUUCAUAUAGAAAUUUUUGGGUAUAUACGUUUUUGACCCCCCGGUUUUAUAGAAAUUUUUGAGUAUAUACGUUUUCGACCCCAGGUCGGAAAUCUCAAGCUUCGCCACUGGUCAGCAACAAUCAACACUAAAGUUGCGGAGUGUUAAUGUGAAGAAAUUAGACCGAAACGUAAAACAUAGAAAGUACUAACUAAGACGAUUUAAGACCCGACGUCGCGACGAACCUAUCAAACGGUGAAAAAAAAUAGACGACAUAAAAACGUUGAACCACACAUGCACGUUGCGCCAUGUUUACUCGCAAAAUUUAGAACGAAGCAAAAAACGAAACGUAAAAACGUUAAACCACACACGCACCUUGCGCCGUGUUAACUCGCAAAAUU
rnacentral:lncRNA from 1 species